UGGGGAAUUUUGGACAAUGGGGGCAACCCUGAUCCAGCCAUGCCGCGUGAGUGAAGAAGGCCUUCGGGUUGUAAAGCUCUUUCGGUCGGGAAGAAAUCGCAUGGGUUAAUACCCUGUGCGGAUGACGGUACCGACAUAAGAAGCACCGGCUAACUACGUGCCAGCAGCCGCGGUAAUACGUAGGGUGCGAGCGUUAAUCGGAAUUACUGGGCGUAAAGCGUGCGCAGGCGGUUUUGUAAGACAGGCGUGAAAUCCCCGGGCUCAACCUGGGAACUGCGUUUGUGACUGCAAGGCUAGAGUAUGGCAGAGGGGGGUGGAAUUCCACGUGUAGCAGUGAAAUGCGUAGAGAUGUGGAGGAACACCGAUGGCGAAGGCAGCCCCCUGGGCCAAUACUGACGCUCAUGCACGAAAGCGUGGGUAGCAAACAGGAUUAGAUACCCUGGUAGUCCACGCCCUAAACGAUGUCAACUAGGUGUUGGGUGGGUAAAACCAUUUAGUACCGGAGCUAACGCGUGAAGUUGACCGCCUGGGGAGUACGGCCGCAAGGUUA
rnacentral:rRNA from 1 species